CUCAAGAACAACAACAACAUUUGACCCUGCAAAUGAGAGAUCAUGUACACCAAUUGACCCUUGUUCUUCUUCCUCUUCCAUCACUUUCUCUGACCCUUAUUCUUCUGCUCGCUCGUAUGGGACCAGAAAGCCGAACAUCUCGUCACCGCUUCCUCUUCUGAUGUCUCCAUCUCGAUUCAUAACCCUCUUCUUCCUUCUGCUGCUCCCAAGAUUCUCUGUCAUCACCGUGACGGUGUUACUGCUUUGGCUCUUAUCCCUAAUUCCACUUGUCUUGCUUCUCGAUCUGUCGAUCACUCCGCUAAACUCUACACGUUUCCAGCAAUGAAAUUCAGUAAUUGUAUGGUAUGCAUAUUUGACGCAUUGAUGAUGGUCAGAGAAAGAUGGAAGAAGAAGAAGAAGAAGAAUAAGGGUCAAUUUGUGUGCAUGGAUCUCUCAUAUGCAGGGCUAAUUGUUGUUGUUGUUCUUGAGAUUGGGAGGAAGAAGAAAUAAAAGUUUUUUAAUAUUUUUCUGAU